AUGGUUUAAAGUCAAUAAAUAUCAAUCAUAUAUGGUUACAAUACAGUCAUGGAUACAACUUAUGGUUACAAUACUAUCUUGUUUUUGUGUUUGAGCCACUGUGACAGCUCUUCUUCUCAAGCUAUGGCCUCAUAGACUGAAAUUUUGGCUAAUUAAUUUGUUUGCUUGGUUCCUACAUUUGAUGUAUUGUUUAAAAGAGGUGUGUUUUAACUUCUUCUAUUUUUUUGUAGAAGAGUAUUGCAUGCUCAGCUACUCCAAUCGUUUGGGGAUGGUGGACUUGAUUGCUGAAUCAAUGGUGCCAUGUCAUGCCCCCUAUAUUACCUUUGCCCAAAUCAAAGUGCAUAUAUUUCCACGAGGUACCUCUCAACUCUAAAUUUACUAAUCAAAGAAGUCAAAGCUACACUCCAGCCACUGAACUGGGUUUUACAUCAUUGCGGAUGCAUGAGUGUGUCAUUGGACUGUCAUGAUUUGUUGGUAUUAUUUGCAAGAGGCGUGUUUUAUCCAAUAGGUAUAAUAUAUUUUACUUGUAUUUUUCUGAAGAUUAUUGUAGCGAAGACGUUUGUCAAAAGUAUUCAGUAUUUACAACCCAUGGCAUGUCCCAUCUUAAGCCCCUCGAAUUGACUUGUAAUCACACACCAGACUGGUGUAUCAGCAUUUGCCGUAAACUUUUACUCAAUCUAUAUAAUUCGUUAGUUCCAUUUCAGCUUCCAAAACAUUUGUUGGCUAUUUAAAACUUUGGCAAAGCCCCUUCUCGUAUAUAAUGGCUGGGAGUGUUAGAAGGUACCACGACACUACAACUAAGCAUCAGAGUGUUGAGUACAUUGAUUAUGAGUAGAAGGAUUUUAAGAUAAAUAUGGUAGUGUCUUACCAAUCAUGUGGCAUUAGCUAUUGUUUUGUCCAUUUCUUUUUGCUAGCCAUUUAUCUCUC